rnacentral:rRNA from 1 species
GACGAACGCUGGCGGCGUGCUUAUCACAUGCAAGUCGAACGGAAAGGCCCUGCUUUUGUGGGGUGCUCGAGUGGCGAACGGGUGAGUAACACGUGGGUAACCUGCCCUUGACUUUGGGAUAACUUCAGGAAACUGGGGCUAAUACCGGAUAGGAGCUCCUGCUGCAUGGUGGGGGUUGGAAAGUUUCGGCGGUUGGGGAUGGACUCGCGGCUUAUCAGCUUGUUGGUGGGGUAGUGGCUUACCAAGGCUUUGACGGGUAGCCGGCCUGAGAGGGUGACCGGCCACAUUGGGACUGAGAUACGGCCCAGACUCCUACGGGAGGCAGCAGUGGGGAAUAUUGCACAAUGGGCGGAAGCCUGAUGCAGCAACGCCGCGUGCGGGAUGACGGCCUUCGGGUUGUAAACCGCUUUCGCCUGUGACGAAGCGUGAGUGACGGUAAUGGGUAAAGAAGCACCGGCUAACUACGUG